GAAAUCUAAGUGUACUCUGUACAGGUAUUACUAUGCAAAGUCAGAAAUACUAAGCAAGGGUUUCUUUCUUUCUCUCUUCCCUUUUUUUCUUUAUUCCUUUCUUAUUGCCACCAGGGUUAUCACUGAGACUCAGUGCCUACAUGACAAACCCACUGCUCUCAGAAGCCAAUCUUUCCUUCCUGCUCUCUCUCUCUCUCUCUCCUUCACUCUCUCCCUCCCUCUCUCUCUUUUCCCUUUUAUUUUAUAGGACAGAGAGAAAUUGAGAGAAAGGGGGAGAUAGAGGGUGACACCUGCAGCACUGCUUCACCACUCAUGAAGCUUCCCCCCCUACAGCACAACUUGGCUCUGGCUUCCAUAGCUGCAGAGGGUGAAGCUGGAGUCCAGGGUCUCCGAUAUUUAAGUUUUUUUGCAUAACCACUGUGUUAUUUUAACUUAUACAUUAAAGUCCUUUGCAUAACUACAAUACUGUCUCCCCACAUGCUUAAUGACUCUGCAAUAUGAGAUGGAAGAUUAAAGUCUCACAUAACCUUUA